UACGGGGGGGGCAAGCGUUGUUCGGAAUUACUGGGCGUAAAGGGCUCGUAGGUGGCCAACUAAGUCAGACGUGAAAUCCCCAGGCUCAACUUGGGAACUGCACUCGAAACUGUUUAUCUUGAGUACCGGAGAGGAAAGCGGAAUACCUGGUGUAGAGGUGAAAUUCGUAGAUAUCAGGUGGAACACCAGUGGCGAAGGCGGCUUUCUGGACGGUAACUGACGCUGAGACGCGAAAGCGUGGGGAGCAAACAGG
rnacentral:rRNA from 1 species